rnacentral:rRNA from 1 species
GACGAACGCUGGCGGCGUGCUUAACACAUGCCAGUCGAACGGAAAGGCCCUGCGUUUGUGGGGUGCUCGAGUGGCGAACGGGUGAGUAACACGUGAGUAACCUGCCCUUGACUUUGGGAUAACUUCAGGAAACUGGGGCUAAUACCGGAUAGGAGCUCCUGCUGCAUGGUGGGGGUUGGAAAGUUUCGGCGGUUGGGGAUGGACUCGCGGCUUAUCAGCUUGUUGGUGGGGUAGUGGCUUACCAAGGCUUUGACGGGUAGCCGGCCUGAGAGGGUGACCGGCCACAUUGGGACUGAGAUACGGCCCAGACUCCUACGGGAGGCAGCAGUGGGGAAUAUUGCACAAUGGGCGGAAGCCUGAUGCAGCAACGCCGCGUGCGGGAUGACGGCCUUCGGGUUGUAAACCGCUUUCGCAUGUGCCGAAGCGUGAGUGACGGUAACGGGUCAAGAAGCACCGGCUAACUACGUG